rnacentral:rRNA from 1 species
AAAGCCUCUAAGCAUCAGGUAACAUCAAAUCGUACCCCAAACCGACACAGGUGGUCAGGUAGAGAAUACCAAGGCGCUUGAGAGAACUCGGGUGAAGGAACUAGGCAAAAUGGUGCCGUAACUUCGGGAGAAGGCACGCUGAUAUGUAGGUGAAGUCCCUCGCGGAUGGAGCUGAAAUCAGUCGAAGAUACCAGCUGGCUGCAACUGUUUAUUAAAAACACAGCACUGUGCAAACACGAAAGUGGACGUAUACGGUGUGACGCCUGCCCGGUGCCGGAAGGUUAAUUGAUGGGGUUAGCGGCAACGCGAAGCUCUUGAUCGAAGCCCCGGUAAACGGCGGCCGUAACUAUAACGGUCCUAAGGUAGCGAAAUUCCUUGUCGGGUAAGUUCCGACCUGCACGAAUGGCGUAAUGAUGGCCAGGCUGUCUCCACCCGAGACUCAGUGAAAUUGAACUCGCUGUGAAGAUGCAGUGUACCCGCGGCAAGACGGAAAGACCCCGUGAACCUUUACUAUAGCUUGACACUGAACAUUGAGCCUUGAUGUGUAGGAUAGGUGGGAGGCUUUGAAGUGUGGACGCCAGUCUGCAUGGAGCCGACCUUGAAAUACCACCCUUUAAUGUUUGAUGUUCUAACGUUGGCCCGUAAUCCGGGUUGCGGACAGUGUCUGGUGGGUAGUUUGACUGGGGCGGUCUCCUCCUAAAGAGUAACGGAGGAGCACGAAGGUUGGCUAAUCCUGGUCGGACAUCAGGAGGUUAGUGCAAUGGCAUAAGCCAGCUUGACUGCGAGCGUGACGGCGCGAGCAGGUGCGAAAGCAGGUCAUAGUGAUCCGGUGGUUCUGAAUGGAAGGGCCAUCGCUCAACGGAUAAAAGGUACUCCGGGGAUAACAGGCUGAUACCGCCCAAGAGUUCAUAUCGACGGCGGUGUUUGGCACCUCGAUGUCGGCUCAUCACAUCCUGGGGCUGAAGUAGGUCCCAAGGGUAUGGCUGUUCGCCAUUUAAAGUGGUACGCGAGCUGGGUUUAGAACGUCGUGAGACAGUUCGGUCCCUAUCUGCCGUGGGCGCUGGAGAACUGAGGGGGGCUGCUCCUAGUACGAGAGGACCGGAGUGGACGCAUCACUGGUGUUCGGGUUGUCAUGCCAAUGGCACUGCCCGGUAGCUAAAUGCGGAAGAGAUAAGUGCUGAAAGCAUCUAAGCACGAAACUUGCCCCGAGAUGAGUUCUCCCUGACUCCUUGAGAGUCCUGAAGGAACGUUGAAGACGACGACGUUGAUAGGCCGGGUGUGUAAGCGCAGCGAUGCGUUGAGCUAACCGGUACUAAUGAACCGUGAGGCUUAACCUUACAACGCCGAAG